GAUGAACGCUGGCGGCGUGCCUAAUACAUGCAAGUCGAGCGAACAGACGAGGAGCUUGCUCCUCUGACGUGAGCGGCGGACGGGUGAGUAACACGUGGAUAACCUACCUAUAAGACUGGGAUAACUUCGGGAAACCGGAGCUAAUACCGGAUGAUAUAUUGAACCGCAUGGUUCAAUAGUGAAAGACGGUUUUGCUGUCACUUAUAGAUGGAUCCGCGCCGCAUUAGCUAGUUGGUAAGGUAACGGCUUACCAAGGCAACGAUGCGUAGCCGACCUGAGAGGGUGAUCGGCCACACUGGAACGGAGACACGGUCCAGACUCCUACGGGAGGCAGCAGUAGGGAAGCUUCCGCAAUGGGCGAAAGCCUGACGGAGCAACGCCGCGUGAGUGAUGAAGGUCGUCGGAUCGUAAAACUCUGUUAUUAGGGAAGAACAAAUGUGUAAGUAACUAUGCACGUCUUGACGGUACCUAAUCAGAAAGCCACGGCUAACUACGUG
rnacentral:rRNA from 1 species